rnacentral:rRNA from 1 species
UACGGGGGGGGCAAGCGUUGUUCGGAAUUACUGGGCGUAAAGGGCUCGUAGGCGGCCAACUAAGUCAGACGUGAAAUCCCCAGGCUUAACCUGGGAACUGCGUCUGAUACUGGAUGGCUUGAAUUCGGGAGAGGGAUGCAGAAUUCCAGGUGUAGCGGUGAAAUGCGUAGAUAUCUGGAGGAAUACCGGUGGCGAAGGCGGCAUCCUGGACCGACAUUGACGCUGAGGAGCGAAAGCUAGGGGAGCAAACAGG